AUACCCCUCCCCCGUCCCCGCCAGCCCUGCCAACCCUGCCGCCGCCGCCGCUUGCCCGCCGUACUGGGGCUGCCCGGGACUCUAGCCGCCAGGCUUCGCCUCGCCCAGCAGCAGAUCGGGCUCCUGGGAGCCUCUCCCUCCUGGCCGUUUGCUCGGCCUGGGCCCAGCUGCCCUGGGGCCUAGCCACUAGCUCCGCUGGCGCUAGCCUACCCUGUCUUGACCGCACCCUGAAGAUUUAGGAAGUCUUUCUCCAUCCCAAGAGUCGUCUCUGCAAAAGUUGGUGUCCUUCCUGGUGCUGAACCACACUUCUGCUCCAAAUGUGUUGAGCGUCGUCUGUCUGCAAAGCACGGUGCCAGGAGCUUUGGUGGAGAAGCCAUGGGGUACAUGCGUAAAGAGUACAGGCUUUUGGUUAAACCUGAAGUCCUCCUCUACUUUCUGGGGGACCCUGCCCGUCCUUGCUGGGCCUCCGUUGACUUCUCUAAUGGGGACGGUAAUGCCUACCUGACCACAAGCUGAUGAAUAAAUGAGCUAUGAGUGCAAAGUGUGGUGCAGUUCUGGCGUGUGGCAGCCUCUCAAGUGUCAGUUUCCGUCUCAUUCCUCUUAAUCUUUACUAAAACAGACAAGUAUUCAUUGAGCACCUAAUGCGUGUUCAGUAUGGUGGGAGAUGAGGGAUGACAGUAUUAUUUUUCUAUUCUAUAGGGUAGACACAGGAACGAAAGGUUGAGUCUAUUGCCCAUAGCCGACCUUUUCUUCAUUUUUUGCUGUGGUUUAGAAGUUCACAGCUCCCAACUUCCACUUAGGAGUAGAUAAUAUAGGGGACUUUGCGAGCUGGUCUCUUUCCCUCUUAGCUUCAGAAGGGCUUCGAGGUAGCCACCACUGAAUUAGGUGAGAGACAAGGCACGCCUCCGGAGGAAAUCUCAACUGCACAACCGCUACUAUGCCCCAAUUCAGCAGGAACCAGAGCGGUGGUCAAACCUCCCCAAUAGCACUUGGGUUUUCCUGUUGAGAGGGGGGACUGAGAGACAGGACUAGCUGGAUUUCCUAGGCUGGCUGAGAAUCCCUAAGCCUAGGUGGGAGGGUAACCAUAUCCACCUUUAAACACCGGGCUUGCAAUUUAGCUCACACCCAACCUAUCAGGUAAUAAAGAGAGCUCACUAAAAUGCUAAUUAGGCAAAAACAGGAGGUAAAGAAAUAGCCAAUCAUCAAUCGCCUGAGAGCACAACAGGAGGGACAAUGAUGAGGAUAUAAACCCAGGCAUUCAAGCCAGCAAUGGCUACCCUCUUUGGGUCCCCUCCCUUUGUAUGGGAGCUCUGUUUUCACUCUAUUAAAUCUUGCAACUGCACACUCUUCUGGUCCGUGUGUGUCACAGCUCAAGCUGAGCUUUUGCUCACCAUCCACCACUGCUGUUUGCUGCUGUCACAGAUCCGCAGCUGACUUCCAUCCCUCUGGAUCCAGCAAGGCACCCAUUGCUGUUCCUAAUCAGGCUAAAGGCUUGCCAUUGUUCCUGCAGGGCUAAGUGCCCAGGUUCAUCCUAAUAGAGCUAAACACUAGUCACUGGGUUCCACGAUUCCUUUCCAUGACCCACAGCUUCUAAUAGAGCUAUUAACACUCACCGCAUGGCCCAAGAUUCCAUUCCUUGGAAUCCAUGAGGCCAAGAACUCCAGGUCAGAGAACAUGAGACUUGCCACCAUCUCGGAAGUGGCCCGUCGCCAUCUUGGAAGCGGCCUGCCACCAUCUUGGGAACUCGGGGAGCAAGGACCCCCGGUAACAUAGUGACCAGUGGGAAAUUCUUCCUCUCAACAGCUAAUGCAGCAGGAUCUCUUACACCAUACUCUCCCUCACCUUGCUCUUCAUGGUAGAACACGUACCAUAUCUUAGCUGUACUCUAUCAACUGCGCAUCUGGAGUAGAGAGUGAAGUCUUCUUUGUUUCCAGUCAUGGAGCAACAACUUGCUAUGAUACUGGCCUUCUGUAGCUCACUCUUCUUUGUCUACACUGUCACUCUAAUGGAACUUUAAUUGUAGCUAAAGUUAUUUUCUCAGACUCCUUUGAAGCAAGGGGCAGCCAUUUGACGCACUUCUAGCCAAUGAGUUGAAUGUUGAACUUAUUGCUGAGGCUUCUAGGAAAGCAUUUAGAUGGAAGGGCUCUGCGAAUCAGAGUUCAUCUUUGCCCUACACCUGUCUUCCAGGAGGAACGUGAAGAGCUACAGCACUCACAGUUCACUCAUGAAACAACAAACAGGAGAACAAUGGCCUGCAUUCCAAGGAUGGCAGAGCAGAAAACUGUAAAGAGGCUGGGCAUUUGAUGGCAUUGUUGUGCCAUCAGACAAGCCCUAAGCUAUCUUCCCUAAGACUUCUUGUUUUGGGUCAAAUUCCUGUUUAAGCCAGAAAGUUUUUACAACCUUCACCACCCAGUCCUGCAGCUGUUGUCUCAUGCUUGUGACUCAGACUUCCAGGAAUCCUUUAGAAGUGAUGUGAUGAUCUCAUUUGGCACUAUGCAAUGUACAUUAUUAAUGAAGGUACCCUAAUAAUUAUAAAUAUUAAGACAGAAUAUGCAUUUCACAGUGAUUUAAACACUCUUUAACACUCGUAACAACAGUCCAUCAAAGGUUCGCUAACACAGAGAAAAACAUUUAAAAUUGUAAUAAAGGCUGGGUGCAGUGGCUUGCCUCUAAUCCCAGCACUUCAGGAGGCCGAGGCAGGCAGAUUGCUUGAGCUCAGGACUUUAAGACCAGCCUGGGCAACAUGGAGAAACCCCGUCUCUACAAAAAAUUCAAAAAUAAGCCGGGUGUGGUGGUGCACGCCUGUGUUCCCAGCUACUCUGAAGGCUGAGGUGGGAGGAUUGCUUGAACCCAGAAGGCAGAGGUUGCAGUAAGCUGAGACCGCACCAUGCACUCCAGCCUGGGUGAUAGAGUGAGACUGUGUCUCAAAAAAAAAAUAAAAAGUAAAAAUAAAAUUGUAAUGAACAUUCAAGAAAUUGAGAUAUACGGGUACAAAGAUGAUAUAGUAUCAGAAAAAAUGACUUUUUUUUAACUUUACAGCCACUUGAAUUAAGUACCUAAAAAUGUUUUGAUGCUGUUGAGCUUGGCUAUGAUAACAGUAUGUAAAUAUCCCACUUUUCUUAAAAUAUGUAUAAACCGGUAUGUGUACAGAGCAGUGUAUGAAAGGGUGGUCCCCAAAAUAUUGAUAGUGUUUGACGUGGAAUCUGGGCUAGGAAAAAUAAUUACCAAUGGGGAGAUACAAGAUAGCAGCAGUUAGGGAGAGGCUGUCCAUGGAGCUGCCUAUUUAAAUCACUGUCCAUGUUAACAGAUAAGAACUGGAAAUGUCAAAGAACAAUUGCCCAGCUUAGUUACCGCCUGUUACUAAAGAUAGCCCCGGCUGGGUGCGAUGGCUCACACCUGUAAUCCCAACACUUUGGGAGGCUGAGGCAGAUCACCUGAGGUCAGGAAUUCGAGACCCGCCUGGCCAACAUGGUGAAACCCCCAUCUCUACUAAAAAUACAAAAAAUUAGCUAGGUGUGGUGGUGCCUGCCUGUAAUCCCAGCCACUAGGGAGGCUAAGGCAGGAGAAUUGGUUGAACUCUGGCAGCAGAGGUUGCAGUGAGCUGAAAUUGUGCCACUGUACUCCAGCCUGGUCGACAGAGCGAGACUCAGUCUCAAAAAAAAAAAAAAAAGACCGUAAUGAGAACUCUCAAGAGUACCAUGGUAAUAUAAUAUGUAAUAGAUAAUAAAAGAGUCAUGAUCAUUAAUAAUAAAUAUAAUACUUCUACUUCAACGGAGGAAUGGAAAAGUAAACAUAUGUUCUCAUACGUCCCUAAGCUAUGAGGAUGCAAAGGCAUAAGAAUGAUACAAUGGACUUUGGGGACUUGCAGGGAAAUGGUGAGAAGGGCGUAAGGGAUAAAAGACUACAAACUGAGUUCAGUGUAUACUGCUCGGGUGAUGGGUGCACCAAAAUCUUAAAAAUCACCAAAGAACUUAUGUAACUAAAUACCACCUGUUCCCCAAAAAACUAUGGAAAUUAAAAAUUAAAAAAUAAGUACAAUACUUCUCUGCUUAGCGAUAUUAACUAUUCAGUACACAUGAGUUUAGCAAUUCAGUGAUUUCUGACUGUUGGGUAGCUCUCUUUGUUAACAAAUAAAAUAUAAAUUUGAAGAAA
rnacentral:antisense_RNA from 1 species